rnacentral:rRNA from 1 species
GGAGGAUCAUUACUGAGUGAGGGCCCUCUGGGUCCAACCUCCCACCCGUGUUUAUUUACCUUGUUGCUUCGGCGGGCCCGCCUUAACUGGCCGCCGGGGGGCUUACGCCCCCGGGCCCGCGCCCGCCGAAGACACCCUCGAACUCUGUCUGAAGAUUGUAGUCUGAGUGAAAAUAUAAAUUAUUUAAAACUUUCAACAACGGAUCUCUUGGUUCCGGCAUCGAUGAAGAACGCAGCGAAAUGCGAUACGUAAUGUGAAUUGCAAAUUCAGUGAAUCAUCGAGUCUUUGAACGCACAUUGCGCCCCCUGGUAUUCCGGGGGGCAUGCCUGUCCGAGCGUCAUUGCUGCCCUCAAGCACGGCUUGUGUGUUGGGCCCCGUCCUCCGAUUCCGGGGGACGGGCCCGAAAGGCAGCGGCGGCACCGCGUCCGGUCCUCGAGCGUAUGGGGCUUUGUCACCCGCUCUGUAGGCCCGGCCGGCGCUUGCCGAUCAACCCAAAUUUUUAUCCAGGUUGACCUCGGAUCAGGUAGGGAUACCCGCUGAACUUAAGCAUAUCAAA